CUGCUGAAAAUAUGUUUAAAGUAAAAUGAAAACAGAUCAUUGGAAAUUGAAUAAUGAACACUUUACUCAUUAAACACAGAUACAUAAGUGCACAUUGAGAAAAAGAAUGUGUGUAAAUGAUAAUUUAUUUAUUUAGUUUAAAAAUUAGUCCUGAAAUUCACGUACAACCUCUACCGAAAGGACAUGUCAGCUAUGUACUACUAUUUCAGAAAAAAUUGAAUUACCCAAUAAAUGAUUCUGCUGCAGUGAUGGCCGCCCUAGAUUUUUCUGCACCUACGGCCAUCACAUUCGCUGCUCGCCACGUGCUUUGACGCUGUAAGGAAGACUGUUGAUGUCUGUAAUGUUUAUUUACUAUAAUGUGAAUUUUUGGGAAUUGUUUGAAAACAGAGUGAAUUUAAAAUUUAAGCCAAAAUAGUUAAACCGUAAAAAGAAAACUUAGUUUGCGAAAUAUUUAGUUGGGCAUGUGAAAUUCAUUUUGGAUUUUUGACAAUUCACAUUUUAGAGAGUAACCCAGGGAGUCGAGCAAGAUGCGUGGUGCAUCCAAGAGGCUCGCUCAUGCAGAUUGCCAUCUGGGUAGUGGUCCUCAGUCUCUUUAAAGUGUCUGGUUCUCUGAUGUGUAACCUCAGACUCUCUGAAUGUCACUGCGCACAAGUCUCACCCUCCUUACACUUCCAUCUCUUCCCAUCUCCCCCACGCUGUGAUACAGGGAAAAGCUUUUAUCGGAGGUGUGAUUAUUGUCUGACCUCAAUCUGACAGCUGGAGCAAAUAGAGUGAUGAAAUGGAAGGGGGGAGGGAAGGGUAGGUUACCAUACAGAGAGGGGUUAAAAAAGAGACAUGGAAAAGUGUUAAUUUGAAGGGAAAUUAUAAUUUGCAUAUAAUAUCAGCUCGUUUCCACUUACACACACUGUGCCAAUUGUGUGCAGUUUAUAGAUUGAGCGAACGUGAUCCUUAUUCAGCUGCAGGCCCUCUGACACACUACCAGCCCCAUGUAAAUGGCUCAGCUGGUGUCCUGUGAGAUAGAACCUUCAAACUCGGAAUUGUCCGUAUUCUAUAUGUUAUAUAUAGGAUAUACACUGCUGGUAGGCUUCGUUACAAAGAAAAAAAUGCUGUGUCUAAAUUAACCCAGCCAUUCCCAAAUAUCUCUUAUUUUUGCCUUUUGUUAAGUAGUAUUCAUAAAUUCAAUAACUGACAAAAUUCAUGUUGUUAUCCUUCAUUACACCCCUUUUCCUUCUAAGGAUAUUUUAUUUAGCCCUGUUCAACUAUUUCUGUCAUAUCAACAUUGUCACCAGAACUUUACAUUGCAGAGUGAUUGAUGGGUUGGUUCUGACAUAUUUCCAUUUAAGGGUAGCUGUAUGUGUGAGUACAAGGGCGUUUAUGUGUAUAUGGGUCAUGUUUGUAUGUGUGUGUGUAUGUAUGGGUGCAAUGUCACUCUUGUCCCAUAUGUACCUAUGUCACGGCUACUUCUUAAUCCAUAGCCUACCUAUAUAUGGACUUAUAUAGAUCCUAUACAGAGCAAACCCAACUUCUAUUCGCUUUUAAUAAAAUAAACAUACAGGCAUGAUAGCUAGAGGUACAGAAAGUAAAGGGAGAGCUAUAACAGAAGGUUAUUGCUGAUGGGAGGAGGUCACAUGAAACAUGUAUUCAACAUCUUCUGAAAUGUGGGAUGACCCUCAGUUGUUAUGAUGUCUAGUGGGUGAGUUCCACUGCUGAGCAUCUUCUACCUCUUUGUGCCUUCUUCAAUAACCAGAUACAAGUUGAUAUUGAGUAACUACGACAUUGCCUUCAGAUAUUUAGAGAUCUGCAGUAGUUGAAGUGGGUUUUCGAAAUUUUCCUCUAGGUCAUUGUUUUUCUUCUUUUAUUUAUCACCGUACCUCUUUCCUUCCAUCGCACUAAAACCAUUUCCCCCAGUUCACUACCCCAAAUGAAAUAUUUUUUAAGAAACCCUCCUACUUUCUUUGUAUUUAUAGCAUGGUGAUGAUUGAUUUUUUUUUUACUAGACUGAGUGUAACCACUCCGGGCAGGGUGUGGUGUCCCUUUUAUUACAGUGUUAGACAUAUGAUUAGUGCGAGAAACAUAUGACUCUGAGCGGCUGUCCUGGCAGAGGAUCUGGUCUCUGCUGUCUUACCUCACACCUACCAGCAAAAUCGAGAUGGUGCUCAGGAGAAAUUAAAACUCAACCCACCAAAUCGAAUUCAAAAUGCCUUGAUAGUUCUGCUGUGGUAAGUUACUUCCAAGUUGACUUCUUGAGCAAAGCAUCUAUUGAAGUAAGCAAGCUAGGUUUCUAUAGCAUUACACAAAUAUAUUCAGGGCCAAUACACACCAUUGUCUGGAAAUCUAUUCAUAAACAGGACAUGUGGUCACGCGUUUAGACUGGAAGAAAGAAGAUUUUGUCUAAGGCAAAAGAAAAGGUUUUUUUACAGUAAGAACAAUAAGGGUGUGGAAUUCUCUGCCUGAAGAAAUGGUUUUAUCAGAGUCUGUUCAGUUAUUUAAACAGCAACUGGAUACACACUUGCAAAAGCAUAACAUCCAGGGUUAUAAUUUUUCAUUUGUGGGGCAAUCGCUUCCUGAUCCAAUGAUAAAUCUAACUGCCAUUCUGGGGUUGAGAAGGAAUUUUUUUUCCUAGUUUGUUGCAAAAUUGGAACACUGAGUUUUUUUCCUUCUUUUGGAUCAACUGCAAAAACAGAUCUGAGAAAGGCUGAACAUGAUGGACACGUGUC